AAGGUUAAAACUCAAAUGAAUUGACGGGGGCCCGCACAAGCGGUGGAGCAUGUGGUUUAAUUCGAUGCAACGCGAAGAACCUUACCUGGUCUUGACAUCCACGGAAGUUUUCAGAGAUGAGAAUGUGCCUUCGGGAACCGUGAGACAGGUGCUGCAUGGCUGUCGUCAGCUCGUGUUGUGAAAUGUUGGGUUAAGUCCCGCAACGAGCGCAACCCUUAUCCUUUGUUGCCAGCGGUCCGGC
rnacentral:rRNA from 1 species